rnacentral:misc_RNA from 1 species
GAUGAAGAACGCAGCGAAAUGCGAUAAGUAGUGUGAAUUGCAGAAUUCAGUGAAUCAUCGAAUCUUUGAACGCACAUUGCGCCCCUUGGUAUCCCGAGGGGCAUGCCUGUUCGAGCGUCAUUUCACCACUCAAGCCUGGCUUGGUGUUGGGCGACGUCCCCUUUGGGGACGCGCCUCGAAACGCUCGGCGGCGUGGCACCGGCUUUAAGCGUAGCAGAAUCUUUCGCUUUGGAAGUCGGGGCCCCGUCUGCCGGAAGACCUACUCGCAAGGUUGACCUCGGAUCAGGCAGGGAUACCCGCUGAACUUAAGCAUAUCAAUAAGGGAGGA